rnacentral:miRNA from 1 species
CCUCCGUGUUACCUGUCCUCUAG